rnacentral:rRNA from 1 species
UACAGAGGAUGCAAGCGUUAUCCGGAAUGAUUGGGCGUAAAGAGCGUGUAGGCGGCCAGGUAGGUCUGCUGUGAAAACUCGAGGCUUAACCUCGAGCUGUCGGCGGAAACCAUCUGGCUAGAGUCCGGAAGAGGAGAAUGGAAUUCCUGGUGUAGCGGUGAAAUGCGUUGAUAUUGGUAGGAACGCCGGUGGCGAAAGCGCGCAACUGGACCUCUUCUGACGCUGAAACACGAAAGCUAGGGGAGCAAACGGG